rnacentral:rRNA from 1 species
UACGGAGGGUGCAAGCGUUAUCCGGAUCCACUGGGUUUAAAGGGUGCGUAGGUGGGCAGGUAAGUCAGUGGUGAAAUCUCCGGGCUUAACUCGGAAACUGCCGUUGAUACUAUUUGUCUUGAAUAUCGUGGAGGUUAGCGGAAUAUGUCAUGUAGCGGUGAAAUGCUUAGAUAUGACAUAGAACACCCAUUGCGAAGGCAGCUAACUACACGAUCAUUGACACUGAGGCACGAAAGCGUGGGGAGCAAACAGG